GGACCAAGGAGUCUAGCAUGUGCGCGAGUCAAUGGGACUAUCGAAUCCCAAAGGCGAAAUGAAAGUGAACGAUGGCCUUGUGCCAACCAAAGGGAAGAUGGGUGAUGAAAAUCGCCUCGCACUCCCGGGGCGUCUCAUUCUCAUUGCGAGAAGAGGCGCACCUUGAGCGUACAUGCUAGGACCC
rnacentral:rRNA from 1 species